GACCUAGCUCAGUUGGUUAGAGCGUCGCACCGGUAACGCGAAGUCACGGGUUCAAACCCCGUUGAAGUCCU
rnacentral:tRNA from 1 species